AGUGAACGCUGGCGGUAGGCCUAACACAUGCAAGUCGAACGGCAGCACAGGAGAGCUUGCUCUCUGGGUGGCGAGUGGCGGACGGGUGAGGAAUACAUCGGAAUCUACUCUGUCGUGGGGGAUAACGUAGGGAAACUUACGCUAAUACCGCAUACGACCUACGGGUGAAAGCAGGGGACCUUCGGGCCUUGCGCGAUUGAAUGAGCCGACGUCGGAUUAGCUAGUUGGCGGGGUAAAGGCCCACAAAGGCGACGAUCCGUAGCUGGUCUGAGAGGAUGGUAAGCCACACUGGAACUGAGACACGGCCCAGACUCCUACGGGAGGCAGCAGUGGGGAAUAUUGGACAAUGGGCGCAAGCCUGAUCCAGCCAUACCGCGUGGGUGAAGAAGGCCUUCGGGUUGUAAAGCCCUUUUGUUGGGAAAGAAAUCCAGCUGGCUAAUACCCGGUUGGGACGACGGUACCCAAAGAAUAAGCACCGGCUAACUUCGUGCCAGCAGCCGCUGUAA
rnacentral:rRNA from 1 species